rnacentral:rRNA from 1 species
UACGUAGGGGGCAAGCGUUGUCCGGAAUUAUUGGGCGUAAAGAGCUCGUAGGCGGUUUGUUGCGUUGGCUGUGAAAUCCCGAGGCUCAACCUCGGGUCUGCAGUCGAUACGAGCAAACUAGAGUGUUGCAGGGGAGACUGGAAUUCCUGGUGUAGCGGUGAAAUGCGCAGAUAUCAGGAGGAACACCGGUGGCGAAGGCGGGUCUCUGGGCAACAACUGACGCUGAGGAGCGAAAGCGUGGGGAGCGAACAGG